AUUGAACGCUGGCGGCAGGCCUAACACAUGCAAGUCGAACGAGUGGCGGACGGGUGAGUAAUGUCUGGGAAACUGUCCGCUGGAGGGGGAGAACUACUGGAAACGGUAGCUAAUACCGCAUACCAUCAGAGGUGCCCAGAUGGGAUUAGCUAGUUGGUGGGGUAACGGCUCACCUAGGCGACGUUCCCUAGCUGGUCUGAGAGGAUGACCAGCCACACUGGAACUGAGACACGGUCCAGACUCCUACGGGAGGCAGCAGUGGGGAAUGUUGCACAAUGGGCGCAAGCCUGAUGCAGCCAUGCCGCGUGUAUGAAGAAGGCCUUCGGGUUGUAAAGUACUUUCAGCGGGGAGGCGUUACCCGCAGAAGAAGCACCGGCUAACUCCGUGCCAGCCGCCGCGGUAAUAC
rnacentral:rRNA from 1 species